GACAUUUUGAUAAUACUGAGUCUUCCUAUUCAUGAACAUGCAAUACCUCUCCAUGUAUUUAGUUAUUCUUUGACUUCAUUCAUCACAGUUUUGUAGUUUUCCUCCUAUAGAGGUUAUACUUAUUUUAUUAGAUUUAUACUGAAGUAUUACAUUUUUGGUAAUGCUAUUGUAAAUAGUGUGGGUUUUUUUUAAAACCUAUUCCACUUGUUCAUUAUUGGUAUAUAGGAAAGCAAUUGCCUUUUGUAUAUUAACUUUGGAUCCUGCAACCUUGCUAUAAUCACUUAUUAGUUACAGGAGUUUUGGGUAAACUCUUUAAGAUUUUCUACAGAGAUGAUCAUGUCACCUGUGAACAAAGACAGCUUUAUGUCUUCCUUCUCAAUCUGUAUACCUUUUAUUUCCUUUUCUUACCUUAUUGCAUUAGCAAGGACUUGCAGCACAAUAUUGAAAAGUUAUAGUAAAGGAGGACAUCCUUGCCUUGUGCUUAAUCUUAGUGAGAAAGCAUUGAGUUUCUCUCCAGUAAGUAUGAUGUUAGCUAUUGGUUUUUUUGUAGAUCGUAUUUAUCAAGUUAAGAAAGUCUCUCUCUAUUCCUAGUUUAUUGAGAGUUUUUCUCAUGAGUGCACGCUGGAUUUUGUCAAACGCUUCUUCUGCAUGUAUUUAUGUUUUUUCCCCUUUUUGUCUUGGAUGGAUUAUAUUAAUUAAUUUUCAAAUGUUGAACCAGCCUUACAUACCUGACACAAAUCCCGUUUGGUCAUGGUAUAUAAUUGUUUGUAUACUUUUUUGGCUUCAAUUUGCUAACAUUUUGUUGAGAAUCUCUGACACAAUUUUUAUCACAUUUCUACUAUUAAAGGUUUGGGAGUCUAACGAAUUUAAGCUAUUAAUUAGUCUUAUCAAAUUGUGCUUUUUAUUCAAAGAUGCACCAUAGCAGAACUCUGAGGGAAUGGAUGGUGGAUGGUAAGGCCUGAAUUUACACUUCUUUUAUUCUUUAUACCCUGAACCCAUCUCUCAACAGUGUUUAUAGUUGAUGUUUAUUUUUUGGAAAUUAGACAUAGCUCACUCCAUUCAUUCAUUCAACAGAUUCUAUAGCAGAAGAGAGGCUUCUAAGGAGGUAGGGUGUAUUAGUGGGGCUGCAGGUUAUUACAGGGAAUCCAAGCAAGGCCUCAUAAUGGAGACAGUGAUAUUUGAGAAAAGACCUAAAAAAGUGAGUGGAUGAGUACUGUAGAUAGUAAAGAGAAAAGUAAUUCAGGUAAAGGGAACAGCAAGUGAAAAUGUCUGCCUACUAUACUUGCUGAACAUCAAGGACUAAAGAGUAUGAGGUGUUUGGAAAAGAGUGAGCAAGGAGUAGAGGUGGAGGAGAUGAGAUCAAAUAUAUAAUGUGGAGGGUAAUCAUGUAGCAACUUUCCAGCAUUUUAAGAACUUCUGUUUCAACUAUAAUGAAGGGGAAGACACUGAAGUCACAUAAUUAUUUUGACUUAGAUUCUCAAAGUGUUCUCCGGCCACUGUGUUAAGGACAGAUUUCAGAGGCAUAAUAAUUAAGAUGACAGACAACGAAAUCUUAAUCCUGAGUGGUAACAGUGGAAAAAUCGAGAAACUGUCAAAUUCUGGUUCUAUCUCAAAGAUAGGGCUGACACAUUUUGCUUCUGUAUUGGAUGUGAAAGGAGAGAGAAAAAAAAUGUCCAAGAUAAAUCACAUUUUGUAACUGAGCACCAGGAAGAAUGGAGCUGUCCUUUUCUGUUUUGGAAAGUCUACAGGAAAAGCAUGAGUGACUAUGUGUGUAUUUGAUUGCAAGGUAUAUUAAGUUUCAGAUGUCUAUUAAAUGACAAAACAGAGAUAUUCUGUUAGUAACCAGUCUUGUUAGGUGGACCCACUCCAUAAAGGACAACCAUCAACCUACCUAAUCUGCUCAAUUUGAAGAC